ensembl:lncRNA
GAAAAAAAUCAAUGGGCAUGUACACACACGCACAGAAGGUUGCACAACCGGCUCUUUAUUAAACACACAUCAUGGCUCAGCCGUAGCAAAAAUCACAUUCAAGAAACACAGAAAGUCAGAACGUCAGCAUAAAACCCGUCACAAACCCGCUCGGCUGCAAAAGUCACACGACGCUAGAAAAAAGCCACCGAUUGCGAAACAGCGUGUGCAGAUCGACUCGGGUCCUUAGAAAAGGAAUGUACGAGUAGCACAGAACGAACGAAGCGGUCACCCACUGAAGCGCCUGAAUGAGCUGAAAGUUCUGCGUUUGUUUAUAUCUACACUGUAAACUUCGAAGUGUGCUUCUGUACAAGACGCUGCGUUCAAAUACAGUCGUGCGUCAUCGUGUUCACGAGAAAGAUUCGCAAGGCGUAGUGUCCAAAACUUCUCAACACAAAAUGUACUGCAGCAAAGAGCUGUCCCAGGUUUUUAAAACAAUAAAUAAAAUGGCGGCUCACAUUAGUCCUGUUAGCGGUUGAUGCUAAGUGUAAUUACAGUGUCAAUUUAACCAUCCGGAGUCUUUUUCUAAACAUUUACCAACACAUCUGAGGUAAAAGUUGAUGUUCCAACUGUCACUGUCUACUUUUUAGCUAGCUAAGUCACUAGCUAGCAUAUAUUCCGUGUCCCGUAACAUACUGUUCUGUUUUACCUCAUGAAAUGUAUUCAUUCGUUUUUACACGAUCUGCUCCUGUGUUUCAAUACUGUUUGUCCACUUCCCCAUCUGACCUGAAAGCCCACGACACGUCUAUUACACAUCAGGAAACGUAGCUGAAUUGAUUCUCCUCAGAAAUACCUCGCUAAGUCGCUAGCGUAGCAAGUAACUACUUUGCUAACUCGUACAAUAUUAUUUAGAAAUGUUUUUAAAGUGACCAAAGACAUUCGUACAUAGUGUAGUUACAUCAGUUUAUUGACUAGCUAGCUGAACAAUUAGCAUACUAACUAGCUUGUGUGCUAAUUACGGACAUUUCCUAGCACUGUUCUAGUAAAUAAUUAAGUGUGUAAGUAUAUAGUGUGGGAGUUUUUGGGAUGGAGCCCAAAGGGAAGUGGACGAGGAGCGUGUGUUAAAAACAGUAUUAUAACACAGUCUUUGCGCUACUCGUGUGUUUGUAGAAACACUGAAUAAACAGGUCGUAAGGACGUCGCUAGCGUCUGCGUCAGCGCGCGGUUGUUUAUCGUCCUUCUGACACAGAGAGAAAAUACAGUAUAUAUAUUUAUUCUCAUAUAUAUGUACACUUUCUGUUCAGU